CCCUACGGGGGGCAGCAGUGAGGAAUAUUGGUCAAUGGACGAGAGUCUGGCCCAGCCAAGUAGCGUGAAGGAUGACUGCCCUAUGGGUUGUAAACUUCUUUUAUAUGGGAAUAAAGUUUUCCACGUGUGGAAUUUUGUAUGUACCAUAUGAAUAAGGAUCGGCUAACUCCGUGCCAGCAGCCGCGGUAAUACGGAGGAUCCGAGCGUUAUCCGGAUUUAUUGGGUUUAAAGGGAGCGUAGGAGGAUUGUUAAGUCAGUUGUGAAAGUUUGCGGCUCAACCGUAAAAUUGCAGUUGAAACUGGCAG
rnacentral:rRNA from 1 species